rnacentral:lncRNA from 1 species
AAUUAAAAAUUAGCAAAUAUAAUCAAACAUCAAUCAAAUUCAAUUAAAAUUUCAAAGGAAUUAUAUAAGAAAUAUAAAUAAUUUUUAAAGACCUUGUAAAGAAAUCAUAAAGAAAUAACAUAGAAAUUCAAAAAAUAUAUAUUAAAAAUAGAAUUUUUAAUAAAAUAUUAAAAUAAAAACCUUAAUUAAAUCUUAGUCAAAUCCUUGCUAAAUCCUUAUCAAAUCCUAGUCAAAUCCUAAAUAAUUUCUAAUCAAAUUUUAAAUAAAUCCUUUCCAAAUCCUAAUCAAAUCCUAAUCGAAUCUUAAUCAAAUUCUAAACGAAUCUUCACCAAAUCCUAAUAAAAUUCUAAAUAAAUCUUAGUAAAAUUUUAAAUAAAUCUUAAACAAAUCCUAGAAAAAUUUUAAAUAAUUCCUAACCAAAUAUUAGACAAAUCUUAGUCAAAUCCUGAUCAAAUUCUAAUUGAAUCCUAAUCAAAUCCUAAAUAAAUUUUAAUCAAAUCUUUAAAAAAAACUCUAAAUAAAUUCUAACCAAAUCUUAAAUAAAUACUAAUCAAAUUCUAGUCAAAUCCUAAUCAAACCUUAAACAAAUCUUAAUCAAAUCUUACACAAAUCCUAAUCAAAUUCUAAAUAAAUCUUAAUCUAAUUUUAAAUAAAUCCUAGUCAAAUCCUAGACAAAUCUUAAAUAAGCUAUAAUCAAAUCUUAAUCAAAUCUUAAUCAAAUUUUAAAUAAAUCCCAAUCAAAUCCUAAAUAAAUCCUAGUCAAAUCCUAGAAUCAUCACUGAUGCUUGGUUUUGUACCUCAAGGUCUGAUUUCAACCUUGAUUGAUAACCAAUCUUCUCUGGAUAUUAAUAUUUAUCCUUUUUGAGAUAAAUUUUACUAAAACCAAUUCUUAAUUUCCUCUUACAUAUGCCUAUAGCUUUUAUUUUUUUAAUCUACAUUAGUUUGCCUUAUUUAUGGUCCUACAAAGUAAGUAGAAGCUACUUUUUUAAAAAGGAAAUAUUACUAUUAAAAGUUUUACUAUCUUCUUAUCUUUUAUUCAUAUUUUU